rnacentral:snRNA from 1 species
GCUUUUCGGUGAUGAACAACGACUUAAAUGGGAAUCUCUCUUACAAACAAAUAAUAUGGUGAGAUAUGGUCUCGACUUUCUGUCAUGAUUGUCCUGAUGUUCUGCUUAAAACACGUCAUUUUUGUACUUUUAGAGUUAA